rnacentral:hammerhead_ribozyme from 1 species
AUCUGGGUGAUGAGUCCAAAAUAUGACGAAACGCGCGUCAUGGAU